CAGCCUCUUGAGGAAGUUUGAAGAGCUGCCAAGUAUUCAAGAUGUGCUGUGUUCUGUAGAAUAUGGCUUGCCAAAGAACAAUUUCUCUCCUCCCUUCCUCCCCUCCCCCCACCAGAAACCGUUACACGGAAAAUAGAUAAGAGGAAAAGAAAAACUGUACGUGAAUAAGUGCAGCAAAGAAGAGGCUGAAGUACUUCUGAGAUGGCAGAACUUGCUGGAGCAAAUCCUGAAGGGUUGGCUGAUGGCUGAAUUCCAGCAGUCUCCAGUACCUCCAUAGAUAUGAACAAGCCCGCUGUGCCGGAUGGCUCCAAGAACAGAAAUUGUCAGUGUUGGAAACUACAGUAAGGCAACACAAAGAAAGUUAUCUGUGGGGAAUUGUGAUCACUGCAGCAAAGAAAUGAAUCUUUAUACUCUGGUUAAAUUAAUCAAGCCCUUCUGCUAAAUGAUGGUAUCUGAAAAUAAGGGACAUACUGAAAAUGGAAAGAAUAGCAGCCAAUCAGCAACAAGACCAUCUGUUAUUAACUAAAGAAUAUACAAUAAUGAAGCCAGAUCUUCAACCAAAAAUUAAACAAGAAUAAUACCUACACAUUAAGAAUAAUAAUUUACAACAAAUACUUCAAAGCACCACUCAUAUAUGGGGUUAAUUUAUAAUUGUAAGACUUCUAAUAGAUUUCUGCUUUUAUCACUCGGGGAAAUUCACCUUAUCUUUCGACAUUAAUAAAAAAUGCCAUAUUUUUAAAUGGGCAUUAACUGCAGAAAUAAUAAGUGGGCAGAUAAUGGACAAGAAAAUGUACUAAAAUGGAUGUAGACAAAAAUUAAAUGGCAAGAUUACACAGUCUGUGUGGCUUUUCCUCUUGACCACUUUUAAUUAAAUGGCAAUGUAUUAAGACACAGUAAAAUAGAAACCAUUCUCUAAUGGAUGGCAUCACUGUUUACAAAAGCAAAUGCACCUUUGGAUCACUAGUUUGUAUUGUCUCACAUUAGUAACAAUCAAAAUUCAUUACUACAUAGUGGCUAUGGAGUGACAUGCAUUGACCAUCUCAGUGAAGUCCCUAGUCAGCAAGUGUACAUGACAGAAACAACCAACACAACUAUAACACUUGGCAGGAGUCUCAGCAAAGAGGCCAAGGACUGCAUCCACUUGAAGAAUGAGCUAUCUUCCUGUCCCUUAUGGUCUGCCCCUACAGAUCACAGUAGAAGUCCACUGACAGCACAGUAUGGGAAAGCUCAGCUGUGGAAAAUGUAUUGAAUAUGAGCAGAGGAAUGUGUAACAAGAUUAGAAGAUAUAGAUUCAGAUGGUACUGAAGCUAUACAGUAUGUCAAUAAUCAGUAAUGAACCACAGGCAGCCCAGAUGAAGAAAGAAAGCACGGAAAGUGAAUAUGCUUUACAACAAUGAAUUCUUUUAAAAAAAAAACAUGAACUCUUCUGAAAAGAUAUACACUGAAGAACAUUAUUGUUUGACUUUGGUGCAUUCAUUUCAGCAAUCUUUGACAAUAUUCACAACACAGGCUCAAUUAAUUCAAACUUUUCUGAUUCAAGACUUCCUGUAAUCCAAAACAAGGUCAACUCCCCCAGCAUGUAUUGCCUUGAAAAUUCCACUCUUAGUCAAAACCUUGACUGCUGGGGCUUACUCAGUGUCUCCCAUGACAUUCGGAUGAUCAAGGUUGUACUGUACUAGUGAGUCACAUUAAAUAUUUUAUCUAAUGUAAGCGUAUGUAAUGUGCUGUAUUUUCCUCAUUGAAAAAAUAUUUGGUUUAUUAAAGAUAAAAGUUACACGUUG